rnacentral:rRNA from 1 species
GACGAACGCUGGCGGCGUGCUUAACACAUGCAAGUCGAACGGAAAGGCCCUGCUUGUGUGGGGUGCUCGAGUGGCGAACGUGUGAGUAACACGGGAGUAACCUGCCCUGGACGUGGGGAUAACUUCAGGAAACUGGGGCUAAUACCGGAGAGGAGCGCCUGCUGCAUGGUGGGGGUUGGAAAGUUUCGGCGGUUGGGGAUGGACUCGCGGCUUAUCAGCUUGUUGGUGGGGUAGUGGCUUACCAAGGCUUUGACGGGUAGCCGGCCUGAGAGGGUGGACGGCCACAUUGGGACUGAGAUACGGACCAGACUCCUACGGGAGGCAGCAGUGGGGAAUCUUGCCCAAUGGGCGGAAGCCUGAUGAAGCAACGCCGCGUGCGGGAUGACGGCCUUCGGGUUGUAAACCGCUUUCGCCUGUGACGAAGCGUGAGUGACGGUAAUGGGUAAAGAAGCACCGGCUAACUACGUG